GGAUUGAAAUAGAUUUAACCUCAGUUAUAGGUUUAAGGCAAAAGGAAAGUGAUUCAGGUAUGCAACUUGAUCACGGGCUUUUAUUUCUUUUUACUAAAAUCAGUUUAUGUUAAUUUCAGCAUAUGAACUAGAUCGAUAGGUGCUUUCAUAUGAUGAAUGCACGCUUAGAUUAAAAUUAUUUUAAUCUAAUUUACUAUAUUUUAGAUUUAAAAAAUUUUUAAAAUCCAC
rnacentral:lncRNA from 1 species